GGUUGCGGACAGUGUCUGGUGGGUAGUUUGACUGGGGCGGUCUCCUCCUAAAGAGUAACGGAGGAGCACGAAGGUUGGCUAAUCCUGGUCGGACAUCAGGAGGUUAGUGCAAUGGCAUAAGCCAGCUUGACUGCGAGCGUGACGGCGCGAGCAGGUGCGAAAGCAGGUCAUAGUGAUCCGGUGGUUCUGAAUGGAAGGGCCAUCGCUCAACGGAUAAAAGGUACUCCGGGGAUAACAGGCUGAUACCGCCCAAGAGUUCAUAUCGACGGCGGUGUUUGGCACCUCGAUGUCGGCUCAUCACAUCCUGGGGCUGAAGUAGGUCCCAAGGGUAUGGCUGUUCGCCAUUUAAAGUGGUACGCGAGCUGGGUUUAGAACGUCGUGAGACAGUUCGGUCCCUAUCUGCCGUGGGCGCUGGAGAACUGAGGGGGGCUGCUCCUAGUACGAGAGGACCGGAGUGGACGCAUCACUGGUGUUCGGGUUGUCAUGCCAAUGGCACUGCCCGGUAGCUAAAUGCGGAAGAGAUAAGUGCUGAAAGCAUCUAAGCACGAAACUUGCCCCGAGAUGAGUUCUCCCUGAGAC
rnacentral:rRNA from 1 species